GACGAACGCUGGCGGCGUGCCUAAUACAUGCAAGUAGAACGCUGAAGGAGGAGCUUGCUCUUCUGGAUGAGUUGCGAACGGGUGAGUAACGCGUAGGUAACCUGCCUGGUAGCGGGGGAUAACUAUUGGAAACGAUAGCUAAUACCGCAUAAUAGUAGAUGUUGCAUGAUAUUUACUUAAAAGGUGCAAUUGCACCACUACCAGAUGGACCUGCGUUGUAUUAGCUAGUUGGUGGGGUAACGGCUCACCAAGGCGACGAUACAUAGCCGACCUGAGAGGGUGAUCGGCCACACUGGGACUGAGACACGGCCCAGACUCCUACGGGAGGCAGCAGUAGGGAAUCUUCGGCAAUGGACGAAAGUCUGACCGAGCAACGCCGCGUGAGUGAAGAAGGUUUUCGGAUCGUAAAGCUCUGUUGUAAGAGAAGAACGAGUGUGAGAGUGGAAAGUUCACACUGUGACGGUAGCUUACCAGAAAGGGACGGCUAACUACGUG
rnacentral:rRNA from 1 species